ACUCGCUACAGCCCGCCGCCUUCCCUCGCGCUCCGCCCUCCCCCUCUCCACGCGCGGUGGUGGCGCCCACAGCCUUCAACCUCCGCUCUCGCUCCACGCCAGCCGCCAACCCAGCAGCAUCCGGAUCGACGGCAGCCCUCCUCAAAUCGAGGCAGCCGUCACACGCGCAUCCGGAGCGCUGGAGGCCCUAUCGCAUGCAGAGCGACUCCCCCAACUCCAGAUGCGCAGGCGUGUGUGGCCGGCUUCCCCAGUCCGGCCUUCGCAGCGGUGUCUCCUCCACGACAGCUUCCCCGGCGCGUGCCCUCCGGCCCGUCCCCGCGCAGCCGCGGCCGCCGCCGCCGCCGGCCCCAUUGAUCCGGUUUGGUUGGAACCUCGAGGGGACGGGGCCUGAUUCUGCUUUCUGUUUGAAUUUCGCUUUCCCCUGUGGGUCUGGGUUGCUGGUGCUGUUGCUUUUAAGGAGGACAUGGAUUUGGCAUCGGGCGAGGAGGAGCUGGCAGAUAUUGACGUACAUACAGGCGAUAUCCUCUAAAGAUUGCAGUAAACUCAAACCAUUCAACUUGCUGCGAUUUUGGUUGCUUCCAUUCCAGUUUGCUCUUGCUCAUGUUCUCCACGAAUCCUCGUUUGAUCAAAGUUUUCUUGCCGCGAAUUCGUGCAGCUUUGGAGAUCGAAUUAUUGAUCUGUAGAGGGGAAAAAUCGUUCGUUUUCCUGAUGUUUGCGGGGCUACUACUUGAUCUCCGUGGAAAUGGUAGCAUAAUGUGAUUGAACUGAUGCGUUGCUUAUUUGGUCUGCAGACAUGGGUUUCAGAAGAUGGACAAGAGCAAGGCUGCCAACCGCCACACCAGACAGCUUAAAGAACUUACUGAUAAGAUGUGAGAUUGCAAAAGGUUACUCAGUCUCUUUCACUCUACUUUCUGUAGUACGUAGCUUUUAGCAACAUCCCCUAAAUAGAUAUGGUAGAUGGAGAGGUUAAACACAAAUACCUCGCUUACUAAAAAGAGGUUAAACUCUGAAGAUUCUUUGGUUUAUUAAAGGAUGCAAUGUUGUUCGGCAGUUAAAGCCUUGAGAGGGAUUGAAUUGAGCUUGUGGGUAUAUUUUCUCUAUCAGUGUUUCUUUAUUUGUGCUAAAAAUACAUGCCGUGCUAAUGUACCUAAAAUAUGUAGUGGAUAUGUUUCACUGCUGCCAUUAUCACAUAUUAACUGACAGUUAAGGUUAUAUAAGUAAUUAGUGAGCUUUUGCAGUUAAAAGUCCAAACGUUCAAGUGUUAAUAGCAAAAGCAAUGUUGUGUUUUUGUUGUCAGAUUCUAGCUUUGUUUAUUCUAUAUAGUCCACAUCGACUCUUAGCGGUCACGAUGGAUUGGUAAAGUGUUUCCACACUAGCGGUUCAGUUUCUACCCCUUUCUCCUAAUUGCUUCUGAAAAGAUUCAUGUACAAUGCUGACUUAUAUUUUUUAUAACAGAGUCUGCCCUGAUAUUGAGAUAUGUGACUUUCAUGGUGCUAAUUAUACAUGAACUAUUAUGUAUAACACUGUUUGCCUGUAUUAUCUGAUAAUAUUUCAUUGGUGCCUCUGGGGUUCAGAGUAGAACAUAUGGUGUCACUUGCAGCCCUGCAUCUACUGUCCGUAUUUGAUUGUGCAGGAAGUGUUGAUUCAAAUUGUUGAAGCCCACUAUGAUAAGUUGCAGGUUGAUAGUCAGAUAGUUUUUCAUAUUAGGUCAGUAGCCCAUUGGGCAUACUCCUGUGUCCAACAGGAAAGGGCAUUGUUGCUUAAACAUCGGUCUACAGACUAUGAGGAGAAUAUACAAUAUGAAGUGUACGGGUUCAAAUACUUAUGGAUGCAAUCAGGAUGUGCUGGUGCUUCAUCAUCAAUGCUAUGCAAUGGACUGGCUGCCUAUAUGCUUUAUCAGCAAAUGAUGGUCAGAAUCACCAAUGACUUUCUGCACCGCAUCUCUACGACCACACAAUACAUAAUUUUGCUGCUGGACAACACCUUGCUAUUUAAUUAUUGUGAGGGAUUUUGGCGUGCUUUCAGUUGAAGGAUAUGCAUGUCGAAAUGUAACAUCCACUUAUGUCAUCUCCUAGCUUUUUUAUAUUGUUCAUGUUAGGGACCGCAUCUCCUAGAAUAAUGAUUAAGACAAAUAUGUUAGGCUUUUGCAUAAUAUGAUUAGUUAGGGUUGCUACUUAUUUUGCCCGUUGCAACGCACGGGCACGAACCAGUGAAAAUAAAAGCGAGGUAGGACUCA